rnacentral:sRNA from 1 species
ACUGGGUGUGGUGGUGCACACCUGUAAUCCCAGCAACUUGGGAGGCUGAGCAGGAGAACCAUGAGUUCAAGAUCACCUCUGCAAU